rnacentral:rRNA from 1 species
GAUGAACGCUGGCGGCGUGCCUAAUACAUCUAAGUCGAGCGAACGGACGAGAAGCUUGCUUCUCUGAUGUUAGCGGCGGACGGGUGAGUAACACGUGGAUAACCUACCUAUAAGACUGGGAUAACUUCGGGAAACCGGAGCUAAUACCGGAUGAUAUUUUGAACCGCAUGGUUCAAAAGUGAAAGACGGUCUUGCUGUCACUUAUAGAUGGAUCCGCGCUGCAUUAGCUAGUUGGUAAGGUAACGGCUUACCAAGGCAACGAUGCAUAGCCGACCUGAGAGGGUGAUCGGCCACACUGGAACUGAGACACGGUCCAGACUCCUACGGGAGGCAGCAGUAGGGAAUCUUCCGCAAUGGGCGAAAGCCUGACGGAGCAACGCCGCGUGAGUGAUGAAGGUCUUCGGAUCGUAAAACUCUGUUAUUAGGGAAGAACAUAUGUGUAAGUAACUGUGCACAUCUUGACGGUACCUAAUCAGAAAGCCACGGCUAACUACGUG